AUGUCAGUUUAAGUACGUCCCAUGCAAUAUUUGGGACAUACUUAAACUAAAA
rnacentral:pre_miRNA from 1 species